GACGAACGCUGGCGGCGUGCUUAACACAUGCAAGUCGAACGCUGAAGCUCAGCUUGCUGGGUGGAUGAGUGGCGAACGGGUGAGUAACACGUGAGUAACCUGCCCUCUUCUUUGGGAUAACGCCCGGAAACGGGUGCUAAUACUGGAUAUUCACUGAUUCUCGCAUGGGGGUUGGUGGAAAGGUUUUUUCUGGUGGGGGAUGGGCUCGCGGCCUAUCAGCUUGUUGGUGGGGUGAUGGCCUACCAAGGCUUUGGCGGGUAGCCGGCCUGAGAGGGUGACCGGGAACAUUGGGACUGAGAUACGGCCCAGACUCCUACGGGAGGCAGCAGUGGGGAAUAUUGCACAAUGGGCGAAAGCCUGAUGCAGCGACGCCGCGUGAGGGAUGGAGGCCUUCGGGUUGGAAACCUCUUUCGCGCAGGGUCAAGCCGCAGCUUGGGGUUGUGGUGAGGGUAGCGGGUAAAGAAGCGCCGGCUAACUACGUG
rnacentral:rRNA from 1 species